rnacentral:lncRNA from 1 species
UCAAUUUUUAUCAUUCAUUCUUUUUUUUUCAUUCAAAUUAUUAUAAAUAUAUCAUAUAACAUAUUUAAUAUAUUUUACUUUAUUUUUCUUACAGGUUGAGACUAAGGGGGUGUUGUUUGGCCUAGCUAUUUAAAAGUAAUUUUGAGCUCAGUAGAGCGUUUGGAAAUGACAUUCUGAAAAUCUGAUUCUGCUUUUUAGAAUCAGAAAACUGAUUUUAAAGGCUCCAGAAUCAGAAGCAGAAAAAAGCUGCUUCUCCAAAACUGAUUCUGAUUUUGAACUUAAACUUCUAAUUUUUAUUUUUAUUUUAGAUUUAAAGUAUAAAUUUAAUAUUAAAUUUAAAUUUUAAAAUUUUAAAUUCAUAUUUGAAUUUUUAAAUCUCAACUUUUCAAAUUUAAAAUUUAAAAUUUACAUUUAAAAUUUUAAAUUUAAGUUUCAAAUCUCAAAAUUUCAAAUUUCAAAAUUCAAAUUUUAAAAUUCAAAAUUCAAAAUUUCAAAAUUCAAAAUUUUAAAUUUUAAAUUUCAAAAUUUAAAAUUCAAAUUUCAAAUUUUAAAUUUUGAAUUUCAAAUUUCAAAUUUCAAAUUUCAAAUUUCAAAUUUCAAAUUUCAAAUUUCAAAUUUCAAAAUUCAAAAUUCAAAUUUCAAAUUUCAAAUUUCAAAAUUUCAAAUUU